rnacentral:lncRNA from 1 species
UUUACCGGCCACUGUACGGCUUCGAACCACGCCCCUCUUUCGUCAGAGGAACCUUUCUGGCCACCGUAUUCUGAUUCGAAGAACUAGCCUUUUGCCCAGCACCCUUGUCUUCUGACCCCUCUUCCUAAGACAACUCUUUCGUUCAAGUCUCCUGAGCUCAUAUCCUUUCUGUGUUUUUAGAGUUCCAAUUCCAGGGGUCUUACGGCCAACAAACCUCCGAUGAGACCCUAUGAUACACCCCCAAGCCUUCGGACUGCCCUGCCUAGCACGCAUGCGCGUUCCCUCAGUGGUCCAAACCUCGCAUCCGUGGGCUAGGCUUCACGGGCUCUGAGAAUUCCACAAUUUUUCAUUAGCUGUGUGUCUUCGUACAGCUCUAAACCCGGCCAUCUGCUGAGAG